rnacentral:tRNA from 1 species
UAGCUCAGUCAGUUGAGCGUGGCACUAAGAGUGCCAAGGUCGCAGGUUCGAUUCCCGU